CCUACGGGAGGCAGCAGUGGGGAAUAUUGGGCAAUGGAGGAAACUCUGACCCAGCGACGCCGCGUGCGGGAUGAAGGCCUUCGGGUUGUAAACCGCUUUCAGUAGGGAAGAAGCGAAAGUGACGGUACCUACAAAAGAAGCACCGGCUAACUAUGUGCCAGCAGCCGUGGUAAUACAUAGGGUGCAAGCGUUGUCCGGAAUUAUUGGGCGUAAAGAGCUCGUAGGUCGUUUGUUACGUCGGAUGUGAAAACCUGAGGCUCAACCUCAGGCCUGCAUUCGAUACGGGCAAACUAGAGUUUGGUAGGGGAGACUGGAAUUCCUGGUGUAGCGGUGGAAUGCGCAGAUAUCAGGAGGAACACCAAUGGCGAAGGCAGGUCUCUGGGCCAAUACUGACACUGAGGAGCGAAAGUCUGGGGAGCGAACAGGAUUAGAUACCCUGGUAGUCCAGACCGUAAACGGUGGGCACUAGUUGUGGGAACCUUCCACGGUUUCUGCGACGCAGCUAACGCAUUAAGUGCCCCGCCUGGGGAGUACGAUCGCAAGAUUAAAACCUUAAAGGAAUUGACGG
rnacentral:rRNA from 1 species